rnacentral:lncRNA from 1 species
UAUUUAGGGUUAGGCAGGGUAUUUAGGGUUAGGAAGGGUUUAGGGUUAGAAAGGGUUUAGGGUAGGUAGGGUUUAGGGUUAGGUAGGGUUUAAGGUUAGUAGGCUUUAGGGUUAGGUAGGGUUUAGGGCUAGGUAGGGUUUAGGGUUAGGUAGGGUUUAGGGUUAGGUAACGUUAGGGUUUAGGGUUAGGUAGGGUUUAGGGUUAUGUAGGGUUAGGGUUAGGUUUUAGGGUAGAAAGGGUUUAGGGUUAGGUAGGGUUUAGGGUUAGGCAGGGUUUAGGGUUAGGUCAGGUUUAGGGUUAGAAAGGGUAUAGGGUUAGGUAGGGUUUAGGGUUAGAAAGGGUUUAGAGUAGGUACGGUUUAGGGUUAGUAGGGUUUAGGGUUAGUAGGGUUUAGGGCUAGAAAGGGUUUAGGGUUAGAAAGGUUUUAGGGUUAGGUAGGGUUUAGGUUAGGUAGGGUUUAGGGUUAGUAGGGUUUAGGGUUAUGUAGGGUUAGCGUUAGGUAGAGUUUAGAAUUAGUUAGGGUUUAGGGUUAGCAUGGUUUAGGGUUAGAAAGGGUUUAGGGUUAGUAGGAUUUAGAGUUAGGAAGGGUUUAGAAUUAGGUAGGGUUUAGGGUUAGGUAGGGUUUAGGCUUAGUAGGGUUUAGGGUUAGGUAGGGUUUAGGGCUAGAAAAGGUUUAGGAUUAGGAAGGUUUUAGGUUAGGUAGGGUUAGUAGGGUUAGGGUUAGGUAGCGUUUAGGGUUAGUAGGGUUUAGGGUUAGGUAGGGUUUAGGGUUAGGUUUUAGGUAGGGUUUUAGGGUUAGGAAGGGUUUAGGGUUAGGUAGGGUUUAGGGUUAAAUAGGGUUUAAGGUUAGGUAGGGUUUAUGUUUCGGGUUAAGUAGGUUUAGGGUUUAGGGAUGAGGGUUAGGUUUAUGUAGGGUUUAGGGUUAGAUAAGGUUAAGUCUAGGUUUAGGUAAGGUUUAGGGUUAGGUGGGAUUUAGGGUUUAGGUAGUAGGAAUGGUUUAGCGUUUGGUUUAGGUUGGGUUUAAUGUUUGGUUUAGAAUAAUGUUUAGGAUUAUAGGGUUUAGGGUUUAGGGUUUGUUUGUUUUUUUGUUUAUGCAUUUAGUGCGGAGUUUUUUGGAUAAAAUUUUAUAUUAAUAUUAUUGAUCCAUAAUUUUUCUUAAAAUGUUAAAAAUUUUAACGUGAUUUUUAAUGUUCUUAAAACAAAGUAUGUAUUUUUUAUUAAGUUUUUUGUGACAAUAAGUUCAAUAUAUCUUAGACCACAAAUCAUAAAUAUUCUCAGUCUUAUACAUUUUGUUCUUCAAGUUAUUGUUACUUUUAUUUUCUUUUAUACAUUUCUCUUAAUAUUUAUGUAUGCAUCCAUAAUAUUUUUUAAAAAGGUUUUUUCAUUAACUAAUGUAUUUAUUGUAGUUUUAAAUAUAUUAUAGUUUUCGUGCACUUGAUUAAAUUUUUUUGGCGUUUGUGAUAUUUGAAGUGGUUGAGAACCUGAAUGGAUAUGUACUUUCAUAAAAAUUUUGGUGUAUGAUUAAAAAUAAAAAUUUGUAAAGGCUUUUAAAUUAUAUAAAUAUAAUAUUCAACACACUACUGUUGACUGUUUAUAUACUUAAAAUUCUGAAGUAGGUAAUUGCGAAUUUGCUGAACUCAUAGAUUCGUUGCUACUUUAUAAAUUAUUAGAGGAUGAGGUACAUAUGGUAAAAAUUGUUUUGAUGAUAAUAUAACGUCCAUAUCGUAAUGUAUGUUUUUUAAUUUUAUCUACUAUGUAUUAAAAA